rnacentral:rRNA from 1 species
UACGGAAGGGGCGAGCGUUGUUCGGAGUUAUUGGGCGUAAAGGGCGUGUAGGCGGCUUCGCAGGUCGGUGGUGAAAGCAUACAGCUCAACUGUAUUGAGCCACGGAAACGGCGGAGCUUGAGGCUGGGAGGGGCUGGUGGAAUUCCCUGUGUAGCGGUGAAAUGCGUAGAGAUGGGGGAGAACACUCGUGGCGAAGGCGGCCAGCUGGACCAGUUCUGACGCUGAGACGCGAAAGCGUGGGGAGCAAACAGG